CAUGGAAAUGCAGCUCAGCGGCAGAGAGACUGGUCUCUCCGGGACAGGAGGGCUGGAGCAGCAAACACACAGUCACAGGACAGGAAACUACAUAUUACAACAACUGCGUGAAAGCGAAGUGGAAGAAGACAGCACUUUGUCAUUCGUUCCAGUUGACGGAUCCAUUCCAGCUUUUCCCUCGGCUCCACCACAGUCACUGAAAGUGAGAAAAAUUUGGAACAACGACCCCGCUCGUAUCUCAGGCCGGGAUGAGCUCGUGCAACAGAAGAGGAAAUAACACCGGAAGUAGUCCUGGAGCGUGUUCGCCCACUGUGCUUUCUCAACGAGUGAAAAUGAAAACAAAGUUCGUUUCUUUUGCCACCGAAGAUCUCCACAGUCUCUGAGACAAAUUACAAAGGUGUGCAGCCGCUCCUCUGUGCUGCUCCUUCAUGAAACCUGUGCCCCACCCACCACCUGAAGCCAGUCCUACUUUAAGGUCUGACCGGACGUCCACGGAGCAGACUGCCUGACUCCCUUUCUGCCUGGAUUCUUCCAAGACUUGCAACAUGUAUUUUAACCCGAUAAACAAUCGUAUACAGAUGAGGCCUGCCAGCUCACAAUCACAGUUUCCAAACAGGUUUAUUCAAAUGUUUACACGAUGAAAGUGGCAAAUUACAGAGUGUUAAGAUACAGGUCACAACAUGGCCCACACCUGCGUCAGUUUGUAAUAUCAUCAUCAUCAUCAUGACUUGCUUGCGGCUAAAACGCAUUCACCACCCAUGAAAACAAUGCAGUUGAAAAACAUUUUCACUAUCAUUUUCAUUUCUGUACAUAUGUUUCUCUCAUGUGCGUUGUUAAUAUGUUGUCAAAAUGAAUGAAUAUAUAAAGGAACCUUGACCCUACUUGUUGUGUGGAUAGUGUGGUUUUACAUCAUCAGCUGAGUAGAAAAAGCAGUAAAAAAAAUAAAUAACUUGUCGUCCAAAAACAAUUUUGAAAUGUAAUCUCAAAUGAGACCCCUAAGUGCUUUGGAUUAUACAAAU